UACGUAGGGGGCAAGCGUUAUCCGGAUUUACUGGGUGUAAAGGGAGCGUAGACGGCGAUGCAAGCCAGAUGUGAAAGCCCGGGGCUCAACCCCGGGACUGCAUUUGGAACUGUGUGGCUGGAGUGUCGGAGAGGCAAGUGGAAUUCCUAGUGUAGCGGUGAAAUGCGUAGAUAUAUGGAGGAACACCGGUGGCGAAAGCAGCUCUCUGGCCUGUAACUGACACUGAGGCUCGAAAGCGUGGGGAACAAACAGG
rnacentral:rRNA from 1 species